rnacentral:tRNA from 1 species
AAUGAGUUUUAUGCAAGUCUUCUAAAUUUGUUAUAGGUGUUCCUGCUCAUUUUU